CAUCCUCCAAGGCUAAAUACUCCUGACUGACCGAUAGUGAACCAGUACCGUGAGGGAAAGGCGAAAAGAACCCCGGCGAGGGGAGUGAAAAAGAACCUGAAACCGUGUACGUACAAGCAGUGGGAGCCCCACCACUAAGCCAGUGGUGAACUCCACAUACGCAUCCUUUGCUGAGGAUACGGUUAACGGAGCGAAAGCGACGUUCAACCUCAAAAGAAGCAGAGGGGGCUUAGUGGUGGGGUGACUGCGUACCUUUUGUAUAAUGGGUCAGCGACUUAUAUUCUGUAGCAAGGUUAACCGAAUAGGGGAGCCGGAGGGAAACCGAGUCUUAACCGGGCGUUAAGUUGCAGGGUAUAGACCCGAAACCCGGUGAUCUAGCCAUGGGCAGGUUGAAGGUUGGGUAACACUAACUGGAGGACCGAACCGACUAAUGUUGAAAAA
rnacentral:rRNA from 1 species